AAUCAUUAUCUUACAAAA
rnacentral:rRNA from 1 species